rnacentral:tRNA from 13 species
GCGGACGUGGUGAAAUUGGUAGACACGCUGGAUUUAGGUUCCAGUGGCGCAAGCUGUGAGAGUUCGAGUCUCUCCGUCCGCACCA